rnacentral:tRNA from 1 species
UGAUAAUUAGUUUAAAUCAAAACAAGUGAUUUCGACUCACUAGAUUAU